CGCUCAGCCGGCAGGGGGCACUGUGGCGUCGCCGUGGGUCCUGCCUGGGGAAACGCUUCUCCCCGCCUGCAUUUGCCCGGGAUCGCGCAGCUGAGCUUAUGGCCUGAGGAUAACUUGCAAUCCUAAGAUGGAUAACCUGCAAUACAAGAAGUCAGUGGUGUGCCUGGAAUAUGCCCAGAGUGCUGAGAGUACAGGCUGUAACAGGCCUGGGGUAGACUGAAUGUGCCUGAAGUCAUCAAAAUGACAGUCUCAUUCAUGAUCAACCUGGGGCUCAAAACAUGGAAUUAAUUAUGGGCCAAGAAGACCAAAUUCCUUUUGUACUUUUCAUUUGGAUGUGAAGUCCCUAGGCAAACAAAAUCCACUGCUAAUGUUGCCAAUAAGAGCCCACAUGAAAUAAUUGACCUGGUAAGGAAAUUAAAAGUGAUUAGGGACUACGAAGGUGGAAAGUCAGUGACAGGUAUGGCUCACCAGUCAGGCACGUCCCAUUCCACCACAGCUACUAUCUUGAAGAACAAGAGUAAAGUGAUGGAAGCUGUUAAAAGAUCUGCUUCAUUGAAGCCAACAAGACUAACAAAAAUUCAAGAAGG
rnacentral:lncRNA from 1 species